rnacentral:rRNA from 1 species
UGGGGGACAACAUUUCGAAAGGGAUGCUAAUACCGCAUACGUCCUACGGGAGAAAGCAGGGGAUCUUCGGACCUUGCGCUAAUAGAUGAGCCUAAGUCGGAUUAGCUAGUUGGUGGGGUAAAGGCCUACCAAGGCGACGAUCUGUAGCGGGUCUGAGAGGAUGAUCCGCCACACUGGGACUGAGACACGGCCCAGACUCCUACGGGAGGCAGCAGUGGGGAAUAUUGGACAAUGGGGGGAACCCUGAUCCAGCCAUGCCGCGUGUGUGAAGAAGGCCUUAUGGUUGUAAAGCACUUUAAGCGAGGAGGAGGGUACUGGUAUUAAUACUACCAGGUACUGGACGUUACUCGCAGAAUAAGCACCGGCUAACUCUGUGCCAGCAGCCGCGGUAAUACAGAGGGUGCGAGCGUUAAUCGGAUUUACUGGGCGUAAAGCGUGCGUAGGCGGCUAAUUGAGUCGGAUGUGAAAUCCCCGAGCUUAACUUGGGAAUUGCAUUCGAUACUGGUUAGCUAGAGUGUGGGAGAGGAUGGUAGAAUUCCAGGUGUAGCGGUGAAAUGCGUAGAGAUCUGGAGGAAUACCGAUGGCGAAGGCAGCCAUCUGGCCUAACACUGACGCUGAGGUACGAAAGCAUGGGGAGCAAACAGGAUUAGAUACCCUGGUAGUCCAUGCCGUAAACGAUGUCUACUAGCCGUUGGUCUCUUUGAGGGAUUAGUGGCGCAGCUAACGCGAUAAGUAGACCGCCUGGGGAGUACGGUCGCAAGACUAAAACUCAAAUGAAUUGACGGGGGCCCGCACAAGCGGUGGAGCAUGUGGUUUAAUUCGAUGCAACGCGAAGAACCUUACCUGGUCUUGACAUAGUAAGAACUUUCCAGAGAUGGAUUGGUGCCUUCGGGAACUUACAUACAGG